GAUGAACGCUGGCGGCGUGCCUAAUACAUGCAAGUCGAGCGAACGGACGAGAAGCUUGCUUCUCUGAUGUUAGCGGCGGACGGGUGAGUAACACGUGGAUAACCUGCCUAUAAGACUGGGAUAACUUCGGGAAACCGUAGCUAAUACCGGAUAAUAUUUUGAACCGCAUGGUUCAAAAGUGAAAGACGGUCUUGCUGUCACUUAUAGAUGGAUCCGCGCUGCAUUAGCUAGUUGGUAAGGUAACGGCUUACCAAGGCAACGAUGCAUAGCCGACCUGAGAGGGUGAUCGGCCACACUGGAACUGAGACACGGUCCAGACUCCUACGGGAGGCAGCAGUAGGGAAUCUUCCGCAAUGGGCGAAAGCCUGACGGAGCAACGCCGCGUGAGUGAUGAAGGUCUUCGGAUCGUAAAACUCUGUUAUUAGGGAAGAACAUAUGUGUAAGUAACUGUGCACAUCUUGACGGUACCUAAUCAGAAAGACACGGCUAACUACGUG
rnacentral:rRNA from 1 species